GAUGAAGAACGUAGCGAAAUGCGAUAAGUAAUGUGAAUUGCAGAAUUCAGUGAACCAUCGAAUCUUUGAACGCACAUUGCGCCCGGCAGUAAUCUGCCGGGCAUGCCUGUCCGAGCGUCAUUUCUGCCCUCGAGCGAGUCCAGCAUCUAGGUGCUGGGCCCGCCCGGCGUUGGGGCACUACGGGAAGCCCUGUGCUGUCCCCGUAGGCCCCGAAAUGAAGUGGCGGUCCUGCCGCGGCGCCCCCUGCGUAGUAUAACAGCUCGCUUCGGGACCCGGUGGAGGCCUGCCGUCAAACCUUACUCUCUAAGUUUGACCUCGGAUCAGGUAGGGUUACCCGCUGAACUUAAGCAUAUCAAUAAGCGGAGGA
rnacentral:misc_RNA from 1 species